UGCUGUGAUGUUGUAAUUUGCGUCUUAUCUAGCGGUCAGGGACAGUUGCCUGCUGUCCGCACACUGCCGCGGUUGAGCUGAAGACCUCUUGGGACUGAGCA